rnacentral:rRNA from 1 species
CAGCAGCCGCGGUAAUACGUAGGGUGCAAGCGUUAAUCGGAAUUACUGGGCGUAAAGCGUGCGCAGGCGGUUAUAUAAGACAGAUGUGAAAUCCCCGGGCUCAACCUGGGAACUGCAUUUGUGACUGUAUAGCUAGAGUACGGCAGAGGGGGAUGGAAUUCCGCGUGUAGCAGUGAAAUGCGUAGAUAUGCGGAGGAACACCGAUGGCGAAGGCAAUCCCCUGGGCCUGUACUGACGCUCAUGCACGAAAGCGUGGGGAGCAAAAAGGAUUAGAUACCCCUGUAGUCCCUGUCUCUUAUAC